rnacentral:rRNA from 1 species
AAAACUUUCAACAACGGAUCUCUUGGUUCUGGCAUCGAUGAAGAACGCAGCGAAAUGCGAUAAGUAAUGUGAAUUGCAGAAUUCAGUGAAUCAUCGAAUCUUUGAACGCACAUUGCGCCCUCUGGUAUUCCGGGGGGCAUGCCUGUUCGAGCGUCAUUACAACCCUCAAGCUCUGCUUGGUAUUGGGCAUCACCGGCCUCGGCGUGCCUCAAAAUCAGUGGCGGCGCCGCUCGGCUCCAAGCGUAGUAAUACUCCUCGCUUCCGGACGUCGGGUGUGUGGCUGCCAGCAACCCCCAACAUAUCAAGGUUGACCUCGGAUCAGGUAGG